rnacentral:rRNA from 1 species
UCCAGACUCCUACGGGAGGCAGCAGUGAGGAAUAUUGGUCAAUGGUCGGGAGACUGAACCAGCCAAGCCGCGUGAGGGAGGAAGGUACAGAGUAUCGUAAACCUCUUUUGUCAGGGGACAAAGACUGGGACGCGUCCCCGGAUGAGUGUACCUGAAGAAAAAGCAUCGGCUAACUCCGUGCCAGCAGCCGCGGUAAUACGGAGGGUGCGAGCGUUAUCCGGAUUUAUUGGGUUUAAAGGGUGCGCAGGCGGAAGAUCAAGUCGGCGUUAAAAUGGGGGGGCUAAACCUCUUCGAGCCGUUGAAACUGGUUUUCUUGAGUGAGCGAGAAGUAUGCGGAAUGCGUGGUGUAGCGGUGAAAUGCAUAGAUAUCAGGAGGAACACCAGUGGCGAAGGCGGCUUACUGGACUGUAACUGACGUUGAGGCUCGAAAGCGUGGGGAGCAAACAGGAUUAGAUACCCGAGUACA